rnacentral:misc_RNA from 1 species
AAGUCGUAACAAGGUUUCCGUAGGUGAACCUGCGGAAGGAUCAUUAACACGUAUCCAAACGUUAAACCCCCCUGUGAACCUUCACCUGUACUCGUACGUCCGUUAGAAAAAGCAGCAAUCCCUGGUAAAUCAUCGCCGAACAGUUUUCGAUUCAGGGAUGUCUGCAAGGAGCGUGCAUGUUGUGCGAGCAAGUGGCCUGGCAUCCCCAAGCAGUUAGUGUCUGAAAGUGUCAUUAACUGUGUAAGGAUGACGCAGUCACGAUCGUUGGAGGCCCACACGGCCGACGACCGGGUCACUGGGCGCAAGGCCCCCUAUAACAAACGCUGCUAAUCGCGGCCGCGAUAAUACGCAGUCGACCAAAAACCGAACAACUGUUAACAAUGGAUAUCUUGGUUCUC